GCUGAUCCUAUGAGUCAUUUGUGGGUUCGAAAUAGCUUAAUCUUGUGGGAUUGGACCUAGGCCGUGCAGGACACAGCAGAUGCUGUCCCCUCAGGAGGGGACGGGUUUCCACUGGCCAGGAAGUCAUGGGAAAUGCAGGGUGACACAUCGGAGGCCUUUAACCCAGUCCUCACGUUGGCCGUGACCGCAGGGGCAUCGGGAAGGCCAUCGGAGCUGUGCUUCCACCCUCACAGGGUCUCUGGUGUCCCUUGCGUCUCCAGAAAAGGAGCUAGGCAGAAGUUACGCCUUUGCACAGGGUGUCUCGGAGGGACCACGAGCUCAUUCAACACAGAGCUGGGAAGAGGUGCAGGGCAAGCCUGUCUCUGGUCACAACCACCCUCACUGCAUGGAGGAGGCCUGUUUACACAGAAGGAAGAAGCAGGACAACUCUGUAAGAGGAAACAAAUGAACCGACGUCAAAGGCUCUGCCCCGGCUGCCCCAAGGCCUCUGAACUUGACCUUGGCUGCACAUGCAUCUCACCAGAGACCCCAGACAUCUGACACACACUGGCUGCUCCCCUGCAAAGCUGAACAGCUUCAUGGACUAAAACUCAAGGCAGCCAAAGAGACGCUCUGACUUACUUUGCCUGUUCAUACUUUUGGGUUUAACCAGAGGCUUGAUCCUGAUGCAGCCAGGCUCAGAGGUGGGGCCUAAGGAGGCAACUUCAUCCUGAGGGCCCUAAUCUCAUCCGUGAAGAACACGCAGAGAUUCAUAGCUGAGUGGGCCAUUAGAAGGAGGGCCCAGUUACGGGAAGUAGGUCACUGGCAGUGUGCUUUUAAGGCUAUAUUUUAUACCCUUCUCCUCUCUCUCUCUCUCUCUCUCUCUCUCUCUCUCUCCCUCUCGCUCCCUCCUUCCUGGCCCCCAUGAGGUAAGCAGCUUUCCCCCACCAGGCCCUUCUGCCAUGACGUUUCUG
rnacentral:lncRNA from 1 species